rnacentral:rRNA from 1 species
GACGAACGCUGGCGGCGUGCUUAACACAUGCAAGUCGAACGGAAAGGCCCUGCUUUUGUGGGGUGCUCGAGUGGCGAACGGGUGAGUAACACGUGAGUAACCUGCCCUUGACUUUGGGAUAACUUCAGGAAACUGGGGCUACUACCGGAUAGGAGCUCCUGCUGCAUGGUGGGGGUUGGAAAGUUUCGGCGGUUGGGGAUGGACUCGCGGCUUAUCAGCUUGUUGGUGGGGUAGUGGCUUACCAAGGCUUUGACGGGUAGCCGGCCUGAGAGGGUGACCGGGCACAUUGGGACUGAGAUACGGCCCAGACUCCUACGGGAGGCAGCAGUGGGGAAUAUUGCACAAUGGGCGGAAGCCUGAUGCAGCAACGCCGCGUGCGGGAUGACGGCCUUCGGGUUGUAAACCGCUUUCGCCUGUGACGAAGCGUGAGUGACGGUAAUGAGUAAAGAAGCACCGGCUAACUACGUG